rnacentral:rRNA from 1 species
UACGUAGGAGGCAAGCGUUGUCCGGAAUUACUGGGUGUAAAGCGCGUGUAGGUGGUGGGCCAAGUCUGUGGUGAAAUCGCCCGGCUCAACUGGGCGAGGUCCGUGGAAACUGGUCGACUGGAGGACGGUAGAGGUGAGUGGAAUUCCUAGUGUAGAGGUGAAAUUCGUAGAUAUUAGGAAGAACACCAGUGGCGAAGGCGGCUCACUGGUCCGGUACUGACGCUGAGGUGCGAAAGCGUGGGGAGCAAACAGG